rnacentral:rRNA from 1 species
UUUGGUUAAGUUAGAAAGGGCGCACGGUGGAUGCCUUGACACUAGGAGUCGAUGAAGGACGGGACUAACGCCGAUAUGCUUCGGGGAGCUGUAAGUAAGCUUUGAUCCGAAGAUUUCCGAAUGGGGAAACCCACCAUACGUAAUGGUAUGGUAUCCUUAUCUGAAUACAUAGGGUAAGGAAGACAGACCCAGGGAACUGAAACAUCUAAGUACCUGGAGGAAGAGAAAGCAAAUGCGAUUUCCUGAGUAGCGGCGAGCGAAACGGAACAUAGCCCAAACCAAGAGGCUUGUCUCUUGGGGUUGUAGGACAUUCUAUACGGAGUUACAAAGGAACGAGGUAGACGAAGCGACCUGGAAAGGUCCGUCGUAGAGGGUAACAACCCCGUAGUCGAAACUUCGUUCUCUCUUGAAUGUAUCCUGAGUACGGCGGAACACGUGAAAUUCCGUCGGAAUCUGGGAGGACCAUCUCCCAAGGCUAAAUACUCCCUAGUGAUCGAUAGUGAACCAGUACCGUGAGGGAAAGGUGAAAAGCACCCCGGAAGGGGAGUGAAAGAGAUCCUGAAACCGUGUGCCUACAAAUAGUCAGAGCCCGUUAACGGGUGAUGGCGUGCCUUUUGUAGAAUGAACCGGCGAGUUACGAUCCCGUGCGAGGUUAAGCUGAAGAGGCGGAGCCGCAGCGAAAGCGAGUCUGAAUAGGGCGUUUAGUACGUGGUCGUAGACCCGAAACCAGGUGAUCUACCCAUGUCCAGGGUGAAGUUCAGGUAACACUGAAUGGAGGCCCGAACCCACGCACGUUGAAAAGUGCGGGGAUGAGGUGUGGGUAGCGGAGAAAUUCCAAUCGAACCUGGAGAUAGCUGGUUCUCCCCGAAAUAGCUUUAGGGCUAGCCUUAAGUGUAAGAGUCUUGGAGGUAGAGCACUGAUUGGACUAGGGGUCCUCAUCGGAUUACCGAAUUCAGUCAAACUCCGAAUGCCAAUGACUUAUCCUUAGGAGUCAGACUGCGAGUGAUAAGAUCCGUAGUCAAAAGGGAAACAGCCCAGACCGCCAGCUAAGGUCCCAAAGUGUGUAUUAAGUGGAAAAGGAUGUGGAGUUGCUUAGACAACUAGGAUGUUGGCUUAGAAGCAGCCACCAUUUAAAGAGUGCGUAAUAGCUCACUAGUCGAGUGACUCUGCGCCGAAAAUGUACCGGGGCUAAAUACACCACCGAAGCUGCGGAUUGAUACCGAAUGGUAUCAGUGGUAGGGGAGCGUUCUAAGGACAGUGAAGUCAGACCGGAAGGACUGGUGGAGUGCUUAGAAGUGAGAAUGCCGGUAUGAGUAGCGAAAGACGGGUGAGAAUCCCGUCCACCGAAUGCCUAAGGUUUCCUGAGGAAGGCUCGUCCGCUCAGGGUUAGUCAGGACCUAAGCCGAGGCCGACAGGCGUAGGCGAUGGACAACAGGUUGAUAUUCCUGUACCACCUCUUUAUCGUUUGAGCAAUGGAGGGACGCAGAAGGAUAGAAGAAGCGUGCGAUUGGUUGUGCACGUCCAAGCAGUUAGGCUGAUAAGUAGGCAAAUCCGCUUAUCGUAAAGGCUGAGCUGUGAUGGGGAAGCUCCUUAUGGAGCGAAGUCUUUGAUUCCCCGCUGCCAAGAAAAGCUUCUAGCGAGAUAAAAGGUGCCUGUACCGCAAACCGACACAGGUAGGCGAGGAGAGAAUCCUAAGGUGUGCGAGAGAACUCUGGUUAAGGAACUCGGCAAAAUGACCCCGUAACUUCGGGAGAAGGGGUGCUUUCUUAACGGAAAGCCGCAGUGAAUAGGCCCAAGCGACUGUUUAGCAAAAACACAGCUCUCUGCGAAGCCGUAAGGCGAAGUAUAGGGGGUGACACCUGCCCGGUGCUGGAAGGUUAAGGAGAGGGGUUAGCGUAAGCGAAGCUCUGAACUGAAGCCCCAGUAAACGGCGGCCGUAACUAUAACGGUCCUAAGGUAGCGAAAUUCCUUGUCGGGUAAGUUCCGACCCGCACGAAAGGUGUAACGAUUUGGGCACUGUCUCAACCAGAGACUCGGUGAAAUUAUAGUACCUGUGAAGAUGCAGGUUACCCGCGACAGGACGGAAAGACCCCGUGGAGCUUUACUGUAGCCUGAUAUUGAAUUUUGGUACAGUUUGUACAGGAUAGGCGGGAGCCUUUGAAACCGGAGCGCUAGCUUCGGUGGAGGCGCUGGUGGGAUACCGCCCUGACUGUAUUGAAAUUCUAACCUACGGGUCUUAUCGACCCGGGAGACAGUGUCAGGUGGGCAGUUUGACUGGGGCGGUCGCCUCCUAAAAUGUAACGGAGGCGCCCAAAGGUUCCCUCAGAAUGGUUGGAAAUCAUUCGUAGAGUGCAAAGGCAUAAGGGAGCUUGACUGCGAGACCUACAAGUCGAGCAGGGACGAAAGUCGGGCUUAGUGAUCCGGUGGUUCCGCAUGGAAGGGCCAUCGCUCAACGGAUAAAAGCUACCCCGGGGAUAACAGGCUUAUCUCCCCCAAGAGUCCACAUCGACGGGGAGGUUUGGCACCUCGAUGUCGGCUCAUCGCAUCCUGGGGCUGUAGUCGGUCCCAAGGGUUGGGCUGUUCGCCCAUUAAAGCGGUACGCGAGCUGGGUUCAGAACGUCGUGAGACAGUUCGGUCCCUAUCCGUCGUGGGCGUAGGAAAUUUGAGAGGAGCUGUCCUUAGUACGAGAGGACCGGGAUGGACGCACCGCUGGUGUACCAGUUGUUCUGCCAAGGGCAUAGCUGGGUAGCUAUGUGCGGAAGGGAUAAGUGCUGAAAGCAUCUAAGCAUGAAGCCCCCCUCAAGAUGAGAUUUCCCAUAGCGUAAGCUAGUAAGAUCCCUGAAAGAUGAUCAGGUUGAUAGGUUCGAGGUGGAAGCAUGGUGACAUGUGGAGCUGACGAAUACUAAUAGAUCGAGGACUUAACCAUAUAA